UUGGAGGGCAAGUCUGGUGCCAGCAGCCGCGGUAAUUCCAGCUCCAAUAGCGUAUAUUAAAGUUGUUGCAGUUAAAAAGCUCGUAGUUGAAUUUCGGGAUCAGUAUGUUGGUCGUGCUUCGGUACGUACUGUCAUUACUGGUUUCUCCCUUCUGAAGAACCUUGAUGUCAUUAAUUUGGUGUCUUGGGGAAUCAGGACUGUUACUUUGAAAAAAUUAGAGUGUUUAAAGCAGGCAUACGCUUGAAUACAUUAGCAUGGAAUAAUGAAAUAGGACGUUUGAUUCUAUUUUGUUGGUUUCUAGGAUCGACGUAAUGAUUAAUAGGGAUAGUUGGGGGCAUUAGUAUUCAAUUGUCAGAGGUGAAAUUCUUGGAUUUAUUGAAGACUAACUACUGCGAAAGCAUUUGCCAAGGAUGUUUUCAUUAAUCAAGAACGAAAGUUAGGGGAUCGAAGACGAUCAGAUACCGUCGUAGUCUUAACCAUAAACUAUGCCGACUAGGGAUCGGAUGAUGUUAAUUUUUUAAUGACUCAUUCGGCGCCUUACGGGAAACAAUCG
rnacentral:rRNA from 1 species